rnacentral:rRNA from 1 species
GACGAACGCUGGCGGCGUGCUUAACACAUGCAAGUCGAACGGAAAGGCCCUGCUUUUGUGGGGUGCUCGAGUGGCGAACGGGUGAGUAACACGUGAGUAACCUGCCCUUGACUUUGGGAUAACUGCAGGAAACUGGGGCUAAUACCGGAUAGGAGCGCCUGCUGCAGGGUGGGGGUUGGAAAGUUUCGGCGGUUGGGGAUGGACUCGCGGCUUAUCAGCUUGUUGGUGGGGUAGUGGCUUACCAAGGCUUUGACGGGUAGCCGGCCUGAGAGGGUGACCGGCCACAUUGGGACUGAGAUACGGCCCAGACUCCUACGGGAGGCAGCAGUGGGGAAUAUUGCACAAUGGGCGGAAGCCUGAUGCAGCAACGCCGCGUGCGGGAUGACGGCCUUCGGGUUGUAAACCGCUUUCGCCUGAGACGAAGCGUGAGUGACGGUAAUGGGUAAAGAAGCACCGGCUAACUACGUG